GACGAACCGAGCGAACGUUGUUCGGAAUCACUGGGCUUAAAGGGCGCGUAGGCGGGCUGCCGCGUCCGGGGUGAAAUCCCACGGCUCAACCGUGGAACGGCCCCGGGUACGGGCGGCCUCGAGGGGGUAGGGGCGUGCGGAACUGUGGGUGGAGCGGUGAAAUGCGUUGAGAUCCACAGGAACUCCGGUGGCGAAGGCGGCACGCUGGACCCCCACUGACGCCUGAGGCGCGAAAGCCAGGGAGCGAACGGG
rnacentral:rRNA from 1 species